AGUGUUUGCCUGGCGCUCGGCCGGUGAGGGACUCUUACUGGCUGUCUCGGAUUUGACUCCUUCAACCUUCCCGCGUUUACUGCAUCCUGGAGCAGCGGGAUAUUGAAGCCGAUGUGGGAGUGUCGCCCUCGCGUCAAGUCUCUCUCAACAGCCCAAGGAGUGCCACUUAAGAGGAGUCCAGCCGGCUCCGACCUCUGACCCGGCCCGUGACCUUUGAGCGCGCGUGAUGGCGAUCGUCGAGAGAUGAAGUGCGUCGCGAAUCUCUAAGGAAAGGAAGUGCAGCCUCGACGUCGAAUCUCCGGAAGCGCUUCGGAACAAGCUUCGUCCGGUGCACCGAGUCCGAACGAAUCCGCUCGGCGUCUGGUGCAAGCAACCUGCCGUGCCUCUCCGCUGUAGCGCAGCGCAGUGACGAGCAGUGAGAAGUAACAGAGUGUGUGUUUACGUGUGAUUACCAGUGACCCAACAAAAGGAAAUAAACAACAAAAACGCCGUCAGCCCUUUCGCGAGUGAGUGUUGCGCGGAGCCUCGGAUCGUCCGCCCGCGCUGGAGGCCAGAAGUGGUUGUCGCAAGCUGUCGCCAUCCAUUUCCACCGCGAGAGCUCGCCCGCGCUAGAGCUCCAGCUCCAGCUCAACACCUCCUCGCUUGCUGGGCCAUGUGGCAGGAUCAGCAGCGCUUGGCAGUCCCGCGUCGGAGGAUCCUCUAGGACCCACUAAGAAGCUGCUAGAACGCCCGAGGCCUCAUAAAAUAGAAGAGGCCCCCCCCCCGCCCCCCCUGCCCCAGAAUCUUCGGGU